CAGGUCUACAAGGACAUGAUCAACGACCGCUCCUUGGGCUAAACAACGUCCAGCAGCCCGCAGACGCAGAGCGCGUUUUGGACACCAUGAAUUUUGCUGUUAUUAAGGGCAAGCUAGUUCGCAUGAUGUGGUGUCAGCGUGAUCCAUAACUUUGCAAAAGUGGAGUAGGCAACAUAUUCAUUAAAAAUUUGAGCAAAUCCAUCGAUAAUAAAGCACUGUAGGAUACUUUUUCUGCUUUUGGUAACAUCCUCUCAUGUAAGGUGGUUUGUGAUGAAAAUGUUUCCAAGGGCUAUGGAUUUGUACACUUUGAGACACAGGAAGCAGCUGAAAGAGCUAUUGAAAAAAUGAAUGGGAUGCUUCUAAAUGAUAGAAAAGUAUUCGUUGAAUGAUUUAAGUCUCGUAAAGAAAGAGAAGCAGAGGGCGGCGCCUCUAGGGAAAAAGAUUUCACCAAUGGUUACAUCAAGAAUUUUGGAGACGACACGGAUGACGAGCGCCUUAAGGAUCUCUUUGGCAAGUUUGGACCUGCCUUAAGUGUGAAAGUAAUGACUGAUGAAAGUGGAAAAUUCAAAGGAUUUCUAUUUGUAAGCUUCCAAAGGCAUGAAGAUGCACAGAAAGCUGUGGAUGAAAUGAAUGGAAAAGAGCUCAAUGGAAAACAAAUAUAUGAUGGUCGAGCUCAGAAAAAAAGUGGAAUGUCAGAACUUAAGCAUAAAUUUUAACAGAUGAAGCAAGAUAGAAUCUCCAGAUUCCAGGGUGUCAAACUUUUCGUGAAAAAUCUUGAUGAUGGUAUGGAUGAUGAACGUCUCUGGAAAGAGUUUUCUCCAUUUGUUAUAAUCACUAGUGCAAAGGUUAUGAUUGAAUGUUGUGGGAGCAAAGGAUUUGGUUUUGUAUGUUUCUCCUCCACAGAAGAAGCCACUAAAGCAGUUGCAGAAAUGAAUGGUAGACUUGUGGUCACCAAGCCAUUGUAUGUAGCUUUAGCACAGCACAAAGAAGAGUGCCAGGCUUACCUCACUAACCAGUAUAUGCAGAGAAUGGCAAAUGUACCAGCUGUGCCCAAUCCUAUAAUCAAGCCCUACCAUCCAGCACCUCCCUCAGAUUACUUCAUGGCAGCUAUCCCACAGACUCAGGACCGUGCUUCAUACUAUCCUCCCAGCCAAAUUGCUCAACUAAGACCAAGUCCUCCCUGGACUGCUCAGUGUGCCAGACCUCAUCCAUUCCAAAAUAUGCCUGGUGCUAACUGCCCAGCCGCUCCUAGACCACCAUUUAGUACUAUGAGACGAGCUUCUUCCCAGGUUCCACGAGUCAUGUCAACACAGCCUGUUGCUAACACAUCAACACAGACAAUGGGUCCAUGUCCUACAGCUGCUGCUGCUGCAGCUACUCCUGCUGUUCGCAUGGUUCCACAGUACAAAUACGCUGCCAGAGUCUGCAAUCCUCAGCAACAUAUUAAUGCAUAGCCACAAGUUACAAAGAAGCAGCCUUCUGUUCAUAUACAAGGUCAGGAACCCUUGACUGCUUCCAUGUUGGCAUCUGCCCCCCAUCAAGAGCAAAAGCAAAUAUUGGUUGACCAGCUAUAUUCAAGCCAUGCACCCUACUCUUGCUGGUAAAAUCACUGGCAUGCUGUUGGAGACUGAUAAUUCAGAACUUCUUUGUAUGCUUGAAUCUCCAAAGUCUCUCCGUUCUAAGGUUGAUGAAGCAGUAUCUGUACUACAAGCCCACGAAGCUAAAGAGGCUGCCCAGAAAGCAGUUAACAGUGCCACUGGUGUUGCAACUGUUUAAAAUU